rnacentral:rRNA from 1 species
CAGCCGCCGCGGUAAUACGGAGGGGGCUAGCGUUGUUCGGAAUUACUGGGCGUAAAGCGCACGUAGGCGGCUUGGUAAGUUAGAGGUGAAAGCCUGGAGCUCAACUCCAGAAUUGCCUUUAAGACUGCCGAGCUAGCAGGUGAGAGAGGUAAGUGGAAUUCCGAGUGUAGAGGUGAAAUUCGUAGAUAUUCGGAAGAACACCAGUGGCGAAAGCGGCUCACCGGACCAUUACUGACGCUGAGGCGCGAAAGCUAGGGGAGCAAACAGGAUUAGAUACCCGUGUAGUCCCUGUCUCUUAUAC